CGGGGGGGCGCGCUCUCCUCCCGUUCCUCUCCGCCGGGAUCGCGGUAUCCUAGGGGAGGGAGGAACUGCGCGCGGUCGGAGGGAGUGGAUAAAAAAGACAGGGCGAAAACUCAUUUUUCCUUCUUGACUUUGUUUCCUUGUUUCUAUCCUAAACUCGCAGUCUCCAUAUUUCCCAUCACACGCUCCACGGUGAUUUAUAUAGUCAUAAACAGCAUUCUUGCGACUGUAGCUCCUCUCAUAGCUUGAGGUGAGCUCCUUUUUCACUUUCCUGGCAGCCACUACUUUAAAUCAGGCCUCAUAAAUAACCCCAUGGGCUUACUCAGGAUGAGGUCAGUCAAACAUCUCCCCGGGUCUACUUUCCCGGCUUGGGUCCCGCCAUGCCCCUCCCCUGGGUCACAUGCCGGCGCACUCCCACUGUCUUUCCUUCAGGUUUCCAGAGCUCAAUCACCGACACCAGUUGGGAGACUGGGUAAU
rnacentral:lncRNA from 1 species